rnacentral:rRNA from 1 species
GUAGGUGGCAAGCGUUGUCCGGAAUUAUUGGGCGUAAAGCGCGCGCAGGCGGUUCUUUAAGUCUGAUGUGAAAGCCCACGGGCUCAACCGUGGAGGGUCAUUGGAAACUGGAGAACUUGAGUACAGAAGAGGAAAGCGGAAUUCCACGUGUAGCGGUGAAAUGCGUAGAGAUGUGGAGGAACACCAGUGGCGAAGGCGGCUUUCUGGUCUGUAACUGACGCUGAGGCGCGAAAGCGUGGGGAGCAAACAGGAUUGGAUACCCUGGUAGUCCACGCCGUAAACGAUGAGUGCUAAGUGUUAGGGGGUUUCCGCCCCUUAGUGCUGCAGCUAACGCAUUAAGCACUCCGCCUGGGGAGUACGGCCGCAAAGGCUG